CAACAUGGUAAGAAGCUGGUCUUUGCUUCUCUGUAUAUCAAAACAAAAAAAGCCUUUAGUUUUUAAGUUAAACAUUCAAAAAACCUUCCUAACUAUGGAAAUAUUUAAGACUAGAUAGUACUAUUUUUUAAGUGUUCAUUGCUAAAGAUCUUAAAAUAAAAGCAAGAGAGCAAUCUUCUUUGGAUGGUAAGAAUUUAUUCUUGGGCUGGAAGCUGGGAAAGUACUGGAUUCUCCCUCCAUUCCCUUUCUGAUCCCAGAAGUCUUUGGACCACAGUCCCCUGUCAAUUGGUAACACCCAAGAAACAGCAGAUAGAAAAAGCAGUCACCACACAAGCCACCACACCAUGAGCAAGCACAGGACAUUGAGGCUCUCUGGACCAGCCACAGCUGAGCUCAGCAGGACCACACGGUUCUCAGGAGAGUCCUGCAAACCAGCACCAACAUCUCUGGCCCAGAGCCACAUCUGGCCUUCCCACAUGUAUCGUUGGCUGACCAAAAAGCUGACAGCCGGAGAAGGGAAAAGAACAAGAGGAGAUGGUCUCCUGCCCUGUCUUGGAAACAUAAAAGCACUUCCUGGGCUCCAGGAGGCAGCAGAAGGGAUUCAGGCACAGAAGAGGAUAAACCAGGUUGUGUGAGAAUCAAAGGAGACAAUGAGAUUGUGAAAGGUGGGACAGCAGGAUCCAGCAGAACCACAGUGAUAGACACCGCCUCAUCACCCGCCCUCCCUGGAAUCUCAUCCCUCCUCCACCUGGAAAUAUCUUUCUGCUCAACUAGAAGCACGAGAAGCACAAAGUCAGGAAAAAAAUGCCUCUGUGUCAUUACAUAGUGACUACAAAAAAAAAAAAAAUCAACCCUAAUCACCUCCACCCCCGACAUCCACAAGAAUUUUAAAAACUAUGACGUGCUCUACAAUAAUAAAAGUAGACUUUAUUAACUAUCUACACAGUGCUGAGUGCCUUAUACCCGUUACCUAUAUUUGUUCCCUACUUAUUGUUAUUAUUCCAGUCCCUUCAAUAAGAAAGCUGAGGAUCAGAGAGGAAAGUGAAUUCUCCACGCACCUAUGCAGUUAAGAUUGGAAUACAGCCUGUAAUCCCAGCACUUUGGGAGGCCGAGGCGGG
rnacentral:lncRNA from 1 species